GAUAGCUCAGUUGGUAGAGCAUGAGACUCUUAAUUUCAGGGUUGUGGGUUCCUGCUCGACAUUGAGUGAAAGAUUCCUGUAUUGCA